rnacentral:rRNA from 1 species
AACGAACGCUGGCGGCGCGCCUAAUACAUGCAAGUCGAGCGAGAAGACGUAGCAAUACGUUUGUAAAGCGGCGAACGGGUGAGGAAUACAUGGGUAACCUACCCUCGAGUGGGGAAUAACUAGCCGAAAGGUUAGCUAAUACCGCGUACGCUCCUUGGACUUCGGUUCAGGGAGGAAAGCGAUACCGUGGGUAUCGCGCUCUUGGAUGGGCUCAUGUCCUAUCAGCUUGUUGGUGAGGUAACGGCUCACCAAGGCUUCGACGGGUAGCUGGUCUGAGAGGACGAUCAGCCACACUGGCACUGCGACACGGGCCAGACUCCUACGGGAGGCAGCAGUAAGGAAUAUUGCGCAAUGGGCGAAAGCCUGACGCAGCGACGCCGCGUGGGGAUGAC